AGGCUCAAGCAAUUCUCCUGCCCCAGCCUCCUGAGUAGCUGAGAUUAUAGUGCCUGUAACAUAGAAGAGUCCAUGUCUUAAAAGAAGUCCAAAGCAGUCUUGAAUGAUCAGAACCCUUCUGCCAGAUUGUCUAAUGUCAGUUUGUUUCCCGGCACUGCUUCUACAUCUUCCUCAUCUUCUGGCACAGAUGAAUGCAUGACAUCUCUUGGUAAAAUGGCCCAGAAGAAACACAGGAAGGAGUUAUGAAAAGAUAACACCCGUAAGUGUGACUACACAUUUUGUGGUCCAGUCAUCAUUUCUCAAUUCUGCUUCUACCAAUAGAUGAGAAUUUGACAAGGAUGCUGCAGAAGAAUUCUCACAUCAGGCAAGGAGUCCAACCUGCUCAUGUUUAUUGUCCUGCACUGCUGAAAAUCUCUAAGGCUAGUAUGGAGAGUAACGUCUCUUUUCUGGUUGUAAGGCAGAUCCCUUCUCCUGUAAUACUUAGUUUGGGUUCUAUACAACUGAAGUGAAUUUUUAGUGACAAGCCCAUCAACAGUGAACUUGCUCAGAGGCUCACUAUCUACUUUAGUCCUCAGUUGUCAGGCCCAUGUGGAUAUGAAAUAGGAUGCAACUUGCAGUGGAAAAAUCAUGUCUCCAGUAUGCUAGGAUUGAGGCAGCACCUCUCUGCCUCUGCUGACAGGGGAGAGACUGAAGGAAGCUUAGCAAUUCCCAGGGAAGUGAUAUUAUCUUGUCUGUGUGGUUUGGUUCAUGCCAAGAUGUCUUUGGAUAACUUUAUAAAUAGCAGGUUAUACUGAAUACUAAAUGCAGUGCGAGCUAGGAGAGGAAAGUACCUGCCUUUAGGUCUACCUUUAUUCUUUAAUAAACAAGGUAAUUUACCUUGGGGCUUUGUGUUACUCUCUUAUGGAUUAUAAUUUUUUGACCAGGUACAGUGGCUCACACCUAUGAUAGUACUUCGGAAGGCUGAGGUGGGAGGAUUGUGUGA